GUGGUUACUGCUCUCACAUUCCUUUGGGCCGAAUCGGGUAAAGGGUUCGGGUCACCGGUUUCUCCGGUUUCUACCUCAUUGCCCGUUUCAUCGUCUGAUAAUGAAGAAAGUCAUGAAGAAAAAAAGAUUAUAGAACGAGAAAAAGCGGUUGCAGAAGCCAUUGAAUGGGGUUCGAAUUCAAGAACUCAAAACGAAAGACUACCAUAAUCUUUCAUAGUGACAUACGUAAAAUUUUGCGCAAACUAAAACAAUAUUAUCGAUUUAAUGUCAUAAUUGUUCGACCUGUAAUUGUAAGUGAGUUCUGAGACUAUAUAGAGUGGUCUUAAAGACUUUAUUAAUUACUUGAUAUCUCAAAAUUAA
rnacentral:misc_RNA from 1 species